UAAUGCACCAAUUCGUUAAGCAAAUAUUCUAGGACAAUUAAGAAAACAACUAUGACACACAAUGUUGUGGGAGAAGGGUUGUCGAGGAGAAAUGCUCCGAUUAUACUUUAAACUGUGGCCAAAGUGUCGCCCCACAGACUCACUAUUACAGCAAUAUGAUUAUGAUAUAAUUAUAUGUCCUCAGGGGGUUGUGGUUCCCCCAUGUUGGACUUUACCCAAGGGGUAGUAGAUCCCCGAGAUGGGCAUCUUAAAUGUCCAAGGGGUAGUAGAUCCCCGUGAUGGUCAUUGUUUACUUUAAUGUCCAAGGGGUAGUAGAUCCCCGUGAUGGUCAUUGUUUACUUUAAUGUCCAAGGGGUAGUAAAUCCCCGUGAUGGUCAUUGUUUACUUUAAUGUCCAAGGGGUAGUAGAUCCCCGUGAUGGUCAUUGUUUACUUUAAUGUCCAAGGGGUAGUAGAUCCCCGUGAUGGUCAUUGUUUACUUUACAAUACACUGUAUAAUACAUUGAUUUGUGUGAGUCUAUGGGGUUGAGGGUGACCUUUGGGAGCACUCCAUCCCCACAAAUACACAGCAUGUGUAUUCCCCAUAGACGAAAAAACCCAACUCCCACCACAACUGUAAUCGUAUAGAAGACAGCUUCUGACAGAUGAUCUUUGUGCUUUUCGAAGACAUAUCGUCUAUAUUUCUCUUUCGACACACUUUAAAUAAUUAAUUGAUUAAAAUCAUGUUAUAUGCAAAUAGAAUUUUUUUUUUUUUUUUUUGAAACUACAAGUUGAUCGUAAGACAUAUAUUUGAGCAUUACCAUCACUCAUACUACAGCUGGAACAUCAGGGAGGCCAGGAAAAACCUGCAAUAUCUUUACAGGAAACCUGGAUGGGGCCAAGACAACCAGCAGCUUCCCCACAAAGCUUCUAUCUUACAAGUGCGUGAUUGGAGGGUUGGUAACACGACAAACAAAGCUCACCAUCAUUUUUGGGGUUUUUUUUUACGAUUUAUUUAUUUUUAAUGUCAAUGUGCUCGUUGACAAUUUUGCAACAUGUAUUUGUUAACUCCACUUAUUUUAUUUAUUUGAAUUAUGAUUGGUGGAACUUGACAUAAUAUAAUUCUCGAAUUAUGUAUGUGACUC